CAGAUGCAUUCGUGAACAGUCAGGAGUGGACGCUGAGCCGGGCCGUACCAGAACUCAAAGUGGGCAUUGUGGGUAACCUGGCCAGUGGUAAGUCGGCGCUGGUGCACAGGUAUCUGACGGGGACGUACGUGCAGGAGGAAUCACCUGAAGCUGACGUGGACGCAGG